rnacentral:rRNA from 1 species
AGUGAACGCUGGCGGUAGGCCUAACACAUGCAAGUCGAACGGCAGCACAGUAAGAGCUUGCUCUUACGGGUGGCGAGUGGCGGACGGGUGAGGAAUACAUCGGAAUCUACUUUUUCGUGGGGGAUAACGUAGGGAAACUUACGCUAAUACCGCAUACGACCUACGGGUGAGAGCAGGGGAUCUUCGGACCUUGCGCGAUUGAAUGAGCCGAUGUCGGAUUAGCUAGUUGGCGGGGUAAAGGCCCACCAAGGCGACGAUCCGUAGCUGGUCUGAGAGGAUGAUCAGCCACACUGGAACUGAGACACGGUCCAGACUCCUACGGGAGGCAGCAGUGGGGAAUAUUGGACAAUGGGCGCAAGCCUGACCCAGCCAUACCGCGUGGGUGAAGAAGGCCUUCGGGUUGUAAAGCCCUUUUGUUGGGAAAGAAAAGCAGCAGGUUAAUACCCCGCUGUUCUGACGGUACCCAAAGAAUAAGCACCGGCUAACUUCGUG